UUUCCGUAGGUGAACCUGCGGAAGGAUCAUUAUUGUAUAACCGCGGAGCGAGGGCUGUCGCUGACCCGAAAGGUCGUGCACGCCCGAGUGCCCUCACACACAUCCAUCUCACCCCUAUGUGCACCACCGCGUGGGUCCCCCUUUGGCUUGUUCGGAGGGGGGCUUACGUUUUCACACAAACUUUGUAUGCAGUGUAGAAUGUAUUUUUUGUUUUUGCGAUCACGCAAUCAAUACAACUUUCAACAACGGAUCUCUUGGCUCUC
rnacentral:misc_RNA from 1 species